UUUUAAAAUUAAAAAAAUUAUGGAGCAUUAAUUAUAAUUAUAUAAUUAAGCGGGUCUGAUUUCAAAUAGUAAUAAUUGUUUGGUAGCAGGUGGCCAGCUUAUUACUAGGUGAAUAAUAGCAGAAAAGUAAAGCUAUAGAGAGGUCCAUCUGCAGCUUAUUACUAGGUGAAUAAUAGCAGAAAAGUAAAGCUAUAGAGAGGUCCAUCUGCAGCUUAUUACUAGGUGAAUAAUAGCAGAAAAGUAAAGCUAUAGAGAGGUCCCUCUACAGCUUAUUACUCGGUGAAUAAUAGCAGAAAAGUAAAGCUAAAGAGAGGUCCAUCUGCAGCUUAUUACUAGGUGAAUAAUAGCAGAAAAGUAAAGCAAUAGAGAGGUCCCUCUAUACUACAGCUUUGGCUGUUGCAGACCAGCCACAUUGUUUUCUUCUCUUCCUUUCGUGAAUAUUCAACUCUGCAUUACAUCUAGUUUCCUGGUUUUCACUUGAGCUUGAACGAAUGGAAGUGAAGAAAAUGGCUAAGAGAACAAUAUUGAGGAUUAAGAAGACCCUGGCAGGCCAUUGCUUGACAAAGAACAUCACCAAAAUGCUUUUUAAGCAUGCCAGUGCUAGAGUUGCUCCAACUGCAAAGACACGUAGAAUCAUCUUCAUGCGCUCUUCCAUUUGAUGGACUCUCGUUCUCUUCCACAUGAUCCAUUGAGAAGAAUGAAGACGGAAGUCACAUAAGUAGAAGAUUUAUAUUUGAAUUUUUUUCUUUAUGGCUUGUGGUGGAAUCUUUCUUUUGGCUGUGAUGAUGAGAGGACGUGACUGAUGACUAAUGAGAAGGCAGCUGAAAGGGGGGACAAGCAAACAUGCUUUAGCUGCAAGGAGCCAAAGAGUGGAGUUACCUUAUGAUUGCUUCAACUCAGGAUUUUUUUUUGAAGCUAUGUUGGUUUCUAAUAUUUUGUUUGGGCUUGGCGGCGUGCA
rnacentral:lncRNA from 1 species